GACGAACGCUGGCGGCAUGCCUAACACAUGCAAGUCUAGGGGUAGCAAUACCACUGGCGCACGGGUGAGUAACACGUAGGUUAUCUGCCCCCAUCACAGACAUAACCCCGGGAAACCCGGGGCGUAAUAUCUGAUGAGGUCGCGAGAUCAAAGCUUCGGCGGAUGGGGAGUGAGCCUGCGGCUGAUUAGCUAGUUGGUGAGGUAAAGGCUUACCAAGGCGACGAUCUGUAGCGGGUCUGAGAGGAUGAUCCGCCACACUGGAACUGAGACACGGUCCAGACUCCUACGGGAGGCAGCAGUGGGGAAUUUUGGACAAUGGGGGCGAACCCUGAUCCAGCCAUGCCGCGUGAGUGAAGAAGGCCUCGG
rnacentral:rRNA from 1 species